AUAGCGUAUAUUAAAGUUGUUGCAGUUAAAACGCUCGUAGUUGAAUCUGAUGGGGUCUUUGGCCGGCGCCUGGUCUUCGUACUGGGUCUUGCCGUGCUGAGCCCUAUUAUAUUGUACUGCUGCCCCUCGCGUGUCGUUCACUCGGCAGUGGGGUGCUGUGGCAGUGCCUUUUACCUUGAAGAAAUUAGAGUGUUCAAAGCGGGCGAGUUUUGCUUGAAUACAUUAGCAUGGGAUAAUAGAAUAGGACUGUUGGUUCUGUUUUGUUGGUUUCCAGGGCCAGAGUAAUGAUUAAUAGGGACAGUUGGGGGCAUUCGUAUUUACUUGCUAGAGGUGAAAUUCUUGGAUUUAGUAAAGACGAACUACAG
rnacentral:rRNA from 1 species